UACGUAGGGUGCAAGCGUUAAUCGGAAUUACUGGGCGUAAAGCGUGCGCAGGCGGUUGUGCAAGACAGAUGUGAAAUCCCCGGGCUUAACCUGGGAACUGCAUUUGUGACUGCACGGCUAGAGUGUGUCAGAGGGGGGUAGAAUUCCACGUGUAGCAGUGAAAUGCGUAGAUAUAUGGAGGAAUACCGAUGGCGAAGGCAGCCCCCUGGGAUGACACUGACGCUCAUGCACGAAAGCGUGGGGAGCAAACAGG
rnacentral:rRNA from 1 species